rnacentral:tRNA from 1 species
GCCGGAAUAGCUCAGUUGGUAGAGCAGAGGACUGAAAAUCCUCGUGUCACCAGUUUA